rnacentral:rRNA from 1 species
GACGAACGCUGGCGGCGUGCUUAACACAUGCAAGUCGAACGGAAAGGCCCUGCUUUUGUGGGGUUCUCGAGUGGCGAACGGGUGAGUGACACGUGAGUAACCUGCCCUUGACUUUGGGAUAACUUCAGGAAACUGGGGCUAAUACCGGAUAGGAUCUCCUGCUGCAUGGUGGGGGUUGGAAAGUUUCGGCGUUUGGGGAUGUACUCGCGGCUUAUCAGCUUGUUGGUGGGGUAGUGGCAUACCAAGCCUUUGACGGGUAGCCUGCCUGAGAGGGUGGACGGCCACCUUGGGCCUGAGAUAGGGCACAGUCUCGUAUGGUAGGCAGUAGUGGGGAACAUGACACAACAGGACGAAGCCUGAUGUAGAAACGCCGGGUGCGGGAAGACCUGUUUCCGGUUGUGAACAGCUUUAGCCUGUGACGAAGAGUGAGUGACGGUACCGGGUAAAGAAGCACCGGCUAACUACGUG